UACGUAGGCAGCAAGCGUUGUUCGGAGUUACUGGGCGUAAAGGGUGUGUAGGCGGCUUCUUAAGUCUGAUGUGAAAUCUCCCGGCUCAACUGGGAGGGUGCGCCGGAUACUGAGGGGGCUAGAGUGUGGGAGAGGAAAGUGGAAUUCCAGGUGUAGGGGUGAAAUCCGUAGAUAUCUGGAGGAAUACCGAUGGCGAAGGCAGUUCUGGC
rnacentral:rRNA from 1 species